rnacentral:rRNA from 1 species
GAUGAACGCUGGCGGCGUGCCUAAUACAUGCAAGUCGAGCGAACAGACGAGGAGCUUGCUCCUCUAACGUUAGCGGCGGACGGGUGAGUAACACGUGGAUAACCUACCUAUAAGACUGGGAUAACUUCGGGAAACCGGAGCUAAUACCGGAUAAUAUAUUGAACCGCAUGGUUCAAUAGUGAAAGACGGUUUUGCUGUCACUUAUAGAUGGAUCCGCGCCGCAUUAGCUAGUUGGUAAGGUAACAGCUUACCAAGGCAACGAUGCAUAGCCGACCUGAGAGGGUGAUCGGCCACACUGGAACUGAGACACGGUCCAGACUCCUACGGGAGGCAGCAGUAGGGAAUCUUCCGCAAUGGGCGAAAGCCUGACGGAGCAACGCCGCGUGAGUGAUGAAGGUCUUCGGAUCGUAAAACUCUGUUAUUAGGGAAGAACAAAUGUGUAAGUAACUAUGCACGUCUUGACGGUACCUAAUCAGAAAGCCACGGCUAACUACGUG